CUGUUAGACACAUCAGAGUUCCCAGGUCAUCCUCUUAGACACAUCAGCGUUCCCAGGUCAUCUAUCCUCUUAGACACAUCAGCGUUCCCAGGUCAUCCAUCCUCUUAGACACAUCAGCGUUCCCAGGUCAUCCUUCCUCUUAGACACAUCAGUGUUCCCAGGUCAUCUAUCCUGUUAGACACAUCAGCGUUCCCAGGUCAUCCAUCCUGUUAGACACAUCAGCGUUCCCAGGUCAUCUAUCCUGUUAGACACAUCAGCGUUCCCAGGUCAUCCUGUUAGACACAUCAGCGUUCCCAGGUCAUCUAUCCUGUUAGACACAUCAGCGUUCCCAGGUCAUCCUUCCUGUUGGACACAUCAGCGUUCCCAGGUCAUCUAUCCUGUUAGACACAUCAGCGUUCCCAGGUCCUCCUUCCUCUUAGACACAUCAGCGUUCCCAGGUCAUCCUGUUAGACACAUCAGCAUUCCCAGGUCAUCCUGUUAGACACAUCAGCGUUCCCAGGUCAUCUAUCCUGUUAGACAUAUCAGCGUUCCCAGGUCAUCCUUCCUCUUAGACACAUCAGCGUUCCCAGGUCAUCCUUCCUCUUAGACACAUCAGCGUUCCCAGGUCAUCCUUCCUCUUAGACACAUCAGCGUUCCCAGGUCAUCCUUCCUCUUAGACACAUCAGCGUUCCCAGGUCAUCCUUCCUCUUAGACACAUCAGCGUUCCCAGGUCAUCUAUCCUGUUAGACACAUCAGCGUUCCCAGGUCAUCCAUCCUGUUAGACACAUCAGCGUUCCCAGGUCAUCCUUCCUCUUAGACACAUCAGUGUUCCCAGGUCAUCCUGUUAGACACAUCAGCGUUCCCAGGUCAUCCAUCCUGUUAGACACAUCAGCGUUCCCAGGUCAUCUAUCCUGUUAGACACAUCAGCGUUCCCAGGUCAUCUAUCCUGUUAGACACAUCAGCGUUCCCAGGUCAUCUAUCCUGUUAGACACAUCAGCGUUCCCAGGUCAUCCUCUUAGACACAUCAGCGUUCCCAGGUCAUCCUUCCUCUUAGGCACAUCAGCGUUCCCAGGUCAUCUAUCCUGUUAGACACAUCAGCGUUCCCAGGUCAUCCUUCCUCUUAGACACAUCAGCGUUCCCAGGUCAUCCAUCCUCUUAGACACAUCAGCGUUCCCAGGUCAUCCUCUUAGAAACAUCAGCGUUCCCAGGUCAUCUAUCCUGUUAGACACAUCAGCGUUCCCAGGUCAUCUAUCCUCUUAGACACAUCAGCGUUCCCAGGUCAUCCUUCCUCUUAGACACAUCAGCGUUCCCAGGUCAUCUAUCCUGUUAGACACAUCAGCGUUCCCAGGUCAUCCUUCCUGUUAGACACAUCAGCGUUCCCAGGUCAUCCAUCCUCUUAGACACAUCAGCGUUCCCAGGUCAUCUAUCCUCUUAGACACAUCAGCGUUCCCAGGUCAUCCUUCCUCUUAGACAUAUCAGCGUUCCCAGGUCAUCCUCUUAGAAACAUCAGCGUUCCCAGGUCAUCUAUUUUGUUAGACACAUCAGCGUUCCCAGGUCAUCCAUCCUCUUAGACAUAUCAGCGUUCCCAGGUCAUCCUUCCUCUUAGACACAUCAGCGUUCCCAGGUCAUCCUGUUAGACACAUCAGCUUUCCCAGGUCAUCCUUCCUCUUAGACACAUCAGCGUUCCCAGGUCAUCCAUCCUGUUAGACACAUCAGCGUUCCCAGGUCAUCCUUCCUCUUAGACACAUCAGCGUUCCCAGGUCAUCCUUCCUCUUAGACACAUCAGUGUUCCCAGGUCAUCCUGUUAGACACAUCAGCGUUCCCAGGUCAUCCAUCCUGUUAGACACAUCAGCGUUCCCAGGUCAUCUAUCCUGUUAGACACAUCAGCGUUCCCAGGUCAUCUAUCCUGUUAGACACAUCAGCGUUCCCAGGUCAUCUAUCCUGUUAGACACAUCAGCGUUCCCAGGUCAUCCUCUUAGACACAUCAGCGUUCCCAGGUCAUCCUUCCUCUUAGACACAUCAGCGUUCCCAGGUCAUCUAUCCUGUUAGACACAUCAGCGUUCCCAGGUCAUCCUUCCUCUUAGACACAUCAGCGUUCCCAGGUCAUCCAUCCUCUUAGACACAUCAGCGUUCCCAGGUCAUCCUCUUAGAAACAUCAGCGUUCCCAGGUCAUCUAUCCUGUUAGACACAUCAGCGUUCCCAGGUCAUCUAUCCUCUUAGACACAUCAGCGUUCCCAGGUCAUCCUUCCUCUUAGACACAUCAGCGUUCCCAGGUCAUCUAUCCUGUUAGACACAUCAGCGUUCCCAGGUCAUCCUUCCUGUUAGACACAUCAGCGUUCCCAGGUCAUCCAUCCUCUUAGACACAUCAGCGUUCCCAGGUCAUCUAUCCUCUUAGACACAUCAGCGUUCCCAGGUCAUCCUGUUAGACACAUCAGCGUUCCCAGGUCAUCCUUCCUGUUAGACACAUCAGCGUUCCCAGGUCAUCCAUCUUAGACACAUCAGCGUUCCCAGGUCAUCUAUCCUCUUAGACACAUCAGCGUUCCCAGGUCAUCCUGUUAGACACAUCAGCGUUCCCAGGUCAUCCUGUUAGACACAUCAGCGUUCCCAGGUCAUCUAUCCUCUUAGACACAUCAGCGUUCCCAGGUCAUCCUUCCUCUUAGACACAUCAGCGUUCCCAGGUCAUCCUGUUAGACACAUCAGCGUUCCCAGGUCAUCCUGUUAGACACAUCAGCGUUCCCAGGUCAUCCUGUUAGACACAUCAGCGUUCCCAGGUCAUCCUUCCUGUUAGACACAUCAGCGUUCCCAGGUCAUCCUUCCUCUUAGACACAUCAGCGUUCCCAGGUCAUCCUUCCUCUUAGACACAUCAGCGUUCCCAGGUCAUCCUCUUAGACACAUCAGCGUUCCCAGGUCAUCCAUCCUCUUAGACACAUCAGCGUUCCCAGGUCAUCCUCUUAGACACAUCAGCGUUCCCAGGUCAUCCUUCCUCUUAGACACAUCAGCGUUCCCAGGUCAUCCUGUUAGACACAUCAGCUUUCCCAGGUCAUCCUUCCUCUUAGACACAUCAGCGUUCCCAGGUCAUCCAUCCUGUUAGACACAUCAGCGUUCCCAGGUCAUCCAUCCUGUUAGACACAUCAGCGUUCCCAGGUCAUCCUUCCUCUUAGACACAUCAGCGUUCCCAGGUCAUCCUUCCUCUUAGACACAUCAGCGUUCCCAGGUCAUCUAUCCUGUUAGACACAUCAGCGUUCCCAGGUCAUCCUUCCUCUUAGACAUAUCAGCGUUCCCAGGUCAUCCUCUUAGAAACAUCAGCGUUCCCAGGUCAUCUAUUUUGUUAGACACAUCAGCGUUCCCAGGUCAUCCAUCCUCUUAGACAUAUCAGCGUUCCCAGGUCAUCCUUCCUCUUAGACACAUCAGCGUUCCCAGGUCAUCUAUCCUGUUAGACACAUCAGCGUUCCCAGGUCAUCCUUCCUCUUAGACACAUCAGCGUUCCCAGGUCAUCCUUCCUGUUAGACACAUCAGCAUUCCCAGGUCAUCCUCUUAGACACAUCAGCGUUCCCAGGUCAUCCUGUUAGACACAUCAGCGUUCCCAGGUCAUCCUGUUAGACACAUCAGCGUUCCCUAGUCAUCCUUCCUCUUAGACACAUCAGCGUUCCCAGGUCAUCCUUCCUCUUAGACACAUCAGCAUUCCCAGGUCAUCCUGUUAGACACAUCAGUGUUCCCAGGUCAUCCUGUUAGACACAUCAGCGUUCCCAGGUCAUCCUUCCUCUUAGACACAUCAGCGUUCCCAGGUCAUCCUCUUAGACACAUCAGCGUUCCCAGGUCAUCCUCUUAGACACAUCAGCGUUCCCAGGUCAUCCAUCCUCUUAGACACAUCAGCGUUCCCAGGUCAUCCUUCCUCUUAGACAUAUCAGCAUUCCCAGGUCAUCCUGUUAGACACAUCAGUGUUCCCAGGUCAUCCUCUUAGACACAUCAGCGUUCCCAGGUCAUCCUUCCUCUUAGACACAUCAGCGUUCCCAGGUCAUCCUCUUAGAAACAUCAGCGUUCCCAGGUCAUCCAUCCUCUUAGACACAUCAGCGUUCCCAGGUCAUCCUUCCUCUUAGACACAUCAGCGUUCCCAGGUCAUCUAUCCUGUUAGACACAUCAGCGUUCCCAGGUCAUCCUUCCUCUUAGACACAUCAGCGUUCCCAGGUCAUCCAUCCUCUUAGACACAUCAGCGUUCCCAGGUCAUCCUGUUAGACACAUCAGCGUUCCCAGGUCAUCCUUCCUCUUAGACACAUCAGCGUUCCCAGGUCAUCCAUCCUCUUAAACACAUCAGCGUUCCCAGGUCAUCCAUCCUGUUAAACACAUCAGCGUUCCCAGGUCAUCCUUCCUCUUAGACACAUCAGCGUUCCCAGGUCAUCCUUCCUCUUAGACACAUCAGCGUUCCCAGGUCAUCCUGUUAGACACAUCAGCGUUCCCAGGUCAUCCUGUUAGACAUAUCAGCGUUCCCAGGUCAUCCUUCCUGUUAGACACAUCAGCGUUCCCAGGUCAUCCUGUUAGACACAUCAGCGUUCCCAGGUCAUCCAUCCUGUUAGACACAUUAGUGUUCCCAGGUCAUCCUUCCUGUUAGACACAUCAGCGUUCCCAGGUCAUCCUGUUAGACACAUCAGCGUUCCCAGGUCAUCCUGUUAGACACAUCAGCGUUCCCAGGUCAUCCUUCCUCUUAGACACACCAGCGUUCCCAGGUCAUCCUUCCUCUUAGACACAUCAGCGUUCCCAGGUCAUCCAUCCUCUUAGACACAUCAGCGUUCCCAGGUCAUCCUCUUAGAAACAUCAGCGUUCCCAGGUCAUCCUUCCGCUUAGACACAUCAGCGUUCCCAGGUCAUCCUCUUAGAAACAUCAGCGUUCCCAGGUCAUCCUUCCUCUUAGACACAUCAGCGUUCCCAGGUCAUCCUCUUAGAAACAUCAGCGUUCCCAGGUCAUCCAUCCUCUUAGACACAUCAGCGUUCCCAGGUCAUCCUUCCUCUUAGACACAUCAGCGUUCCCAGGUCAUCUAUCCUGUUAGACACAUCAGCGUUCCCAGGUCAUCCUUCCUCUUAGACACAUCAGCGUUCCCAGGUCAUCCUUCCUGUUAGACACAUCAGCAUUCCCAGGUCAUCCUCUUAGACACAUCAGCGUUCCCAGGUCAUCCUGUUAGACACAUCAGCGUUCCCAGGUCAUCCUGUUAGACACAUCAGCGUUCCCAGGUCAUCCUGUUAGACACAUCAGCGUUCCCAGGUCAUCCUUCCUCUUAGACACAUCAGCGUUCCCAGGUCAUCCUUCCUCUUAGACACAUCAGCAUUCCCAGGUCAUCCUGUUAGACACAUCAGUGUUCCCAGGUCAUCCUGUUAGACACAUCAGCGUUCCCAGGUCAUCCUUCCUCUUAGACAUAUCAGCGUUCCCAGGUCAUCCUUCCUGUUAGACACAUCAGCGUUCCCAGGUCAUCCUGUUAGACACAUCAGCGUUCCCAGGUCAUCCUUCCUCUUAGACACAUCAGCGUUCCCAGGUCAUCCUUCCUCUUAGACAUAUCAGUGUUCCCAGGUCAUCCUUCCUCUUAGACACAUCAGCGUUCCCAGGUCAUCCUCUUAGACACAUCAGCGUUCCCAGGUCAUCCAUCCUGUUAGACACAUCAGUGUUCCCAGGUCAUCCUUCCUCUUAGACACAUCAGCGUUCCCAGGUCAUCCUUCCUCUUAGACAUAUCAGUGUUCCCAGGUCAUCCUUCCUCUUAGACACAUCAGCGUUCCCAGGUCAUCCUUCCUCUUAGACACAUCAGCGUUCCCAGGUCAUCCAUCCUGUUAAACACAUCAGCGUUCCCAGGUCAUCCAUCCUGUUAGACACAUCAGCGUUCCCAGGUCAUCUAUCCUCUUAGACACAUCAGCGUUCCCAGGUCAUCCUGUUAGACACAUCUGCGUUCCCAGGUCAUCCUGUUAGACACAUCAGCGUUCCCAGGUCAUCCAUCCUGUUAAACACAUCAGCAUUCCCAGGUCAUCCUUCCUGUUAGACAUAUCAGCGUUCCCAGGUCAUCCUUCCUCUUAGACACAUCAGCGUUCCCAGGUCAUCCUUCCUCUUAGACACAUCAGCAUUCCCAGGUCAUCCUUCCUCUUAGACACAUCAGCGUUCCCAGGUCAUCCUUCCUCUUAGACACAUCAGCGUUCCCAGGUCAUCCUUCCUCUUAGACACACCAGCGUUCCCAGGUCAUCCUGUUAGACACAUCAGCGUUCCCAGGUCAUCCAUCCUGUUAAACACAUCAGCGUUCCCAGGUCAUCCAUCCUGUUAAACACAUCAGCGUUCCCAGGUCAUCCUUCCUCUUAGACACAUCAGCGUUCCCAGGUCAUCCUUCCUCUUAGACACAUCAGCGUUCCCAGGUCAUCCAUCCUGUUAAACACAUCAGCGUUCCCAGGUCAUCCAUCCUGUUAAACACAUCAGCGUUCCCAGGUCAUCCAUCCUGUUAGACACAUCAGCGUUCCCAGGUCAUCCUUCCUCUUAGACACAUCAGCGUUCCCAGGUCAUCUAUCCUCUUAGACACAUCAGCGUUCCCAGGUCAUCCUCUUAGACACAUCAGCGUUCCCAGGUCAUCCUGUUAGACACAUCAGCGUUCCCAGGUCAUCCUCUUAGACACACCAGCGUUCCCAGGUCAUCCUGUUAGACACAUCAGCGUUCCCAGGUCAUCCAUCCUGUUAAACACAUCAGCGUUCCCAGGUCAUCCAUCCUGUUAGACACAUCAGCGUUCCCAGGUCAUCCUUCCUCUUAGACACAUCAGCGUUCCCAGGUCAUCUAUCCUCUUAGACACAUCAGCGUUCCCAGGUCAUCCUCUUAGACACAUCAGCGUUCCCAGGUCAUCCUCUUAGACACAUCAGCGUUCCCAGGUCAUCCUUCCUCUUAGACACAUCAGCGUUCCCAGGUCAUCUAUCCUCUUAGACACAUCAGCGUUCCCAGGUCAUCCUCUUAGACACAUCAGCGUUCCCAGGUCAUCUAUCCUCUUAGACACAUCAGCGUUCCCAGGUCAUCCAUCUUAGACACAUCAGCGUUCCCAGGUCAUCCUUCCUCUUAGACACAUCAGCGUUCCCAGGUCAUCUAUCCUCUUAGACACAUCAGCGUUCCCAGGUCAUCCUCUUAGACACAUCAGCGUUCCCAGGUCAUCCUGUUAGACACAUCAGCGUUCCCAGGUCAUCUAUCUUGGACACAUCAGCGUUCCCAGGUCAUCCAUCUUAGACAUUGAUCGUACUUGAGAGGAAUGAAUUUACAUGGUUGAGGACAGAAUUGUUGGGAUUAAACUACAAUGACAACGAAGAUUACUACUGAUGCUACUUUUGUUGGUGUGGUGUAACAGCUACUAAUGUCACUAUUAACUAUUGUUUUGGGCAGUUUGUACUACUGUUUGAAAAUGUGACUGUUUAAUUGGGGCGAGCCAUUGGAACUACAGUAUUAUGGACGUCUGGUUUGAUCUAACAGUUACUAACUAUCCUGAGUCGCCGACAACUGCUUGGUCUUCAUACGGAUUUAAGAGAAGUGGACUAACGAUGUACACAGCUUUGUAUACAGGAUCAGCACACACACUGGCUUUAUCAAAAAAGAUUUUGCACACAGUGCCUCUCCUCCAAUCCUGCAACCCCCCCCAGCCUCCACUUCCUACUCCACCAUGGCCACUCCUCUUCUAACCCCCCCUCCCUUACGUCCUACUCCACCAUGGCCCCUCCUCUUCUAACCCCCCCUCCCUUACGUCCUACUCCACCAUGGCCCCUCCUCUUCUAACCCCCCCUCCCUUACGUCCUACUCCACCAUGGCCCCUCCUCUUCUAACCCCCCCUCCCUUACGUCCUACUCCACCAUGGCCCCUCCUCUUCUAACCCCCCCUCCCUUACGUCCUACUCCACCAUGGCCCCUCCUCUUCUAACCCCCCCCCCCCCUUACG